CCUACGGGUGGCAGCAGUGGGGGAUAUUGCACAAUGGGGGAAACCCUGAUGCAGCAACGCCGCGUGAGUGAAGAAGCACCUCGGCGCGUAAAGCCCUGUCAGCAGGGAAGAAAAUGACGGUACCUGCAAAAGAAGCCCCGGCUAACUACGUGCCAGCAGCCGCGGUAAUACGUAGGGGGCAAGCGUUAUCCGGAUUUACUGGGUGUAAAGGGGGCGCAGACGGCGAUGCAAGCCAGGAGUGAAAGCCCGGGGCCCAACCCCGGGACUGCUCUUGGAACUGGGCGGCUGGAGUGCAGGAGGGGCAGGCGGAAGUCCUUGUGUAGCGGGGAAAUGCGUAGAUAUCAGGAGGAACACCAGUGGCGAAGGCGGCCGGCUGGACUGCAACUGACGUUGAGGCGCGAAAGCGUGGGGAGCAAACAGGAUUAGAUACCCCAGUAGUC
rnacentral:rRNA from 1 species